rnacentral:rRNA from 1 species
AACGAACGCUGGCGGCAGGCUUAACACAUGCAAGUCGAACGCAUCCUUCGGGGUGAGUGGCAGACGGGUGAGUAACGCGUGGGAACGUGCCCUUCAGUUCGGGAUAACCCAGGGAAACUUGGGCUAAUACCGGAUACGUGCGAGAGCAGAAAGGUUUAUCGCUGAAGGAUCGGCCCGCGUCUGAUUAGCUAGUUGGUGGGGUAAUGGCCCACCAAGGCGACGAUCAGUAGCUGGGCUGAGAGGAUGAUCAGCCACAUUGGGACUGAGACACGGCCCAAACUCCUACGGGAGGCAGCAGUGGGGAAUAUUGGACAAUGGGCGCAAGCCUGAUCCAGCCAUGCCGCGUGAGGGAUGAAGGCCUUAGGGUUGUAAAGCUCUUUCGUCCGGGACGAUAAUGACGGUACCGGAAGAAGAAGCCCCGGCUAACUUCGUGCCAGCCGCCGCGGUAA